UACGUAGGGAGCAAGCGUUGUUCGGAUUUACUGGGCGUAAAGGGCGCGUAGGCGGCCCGCUAAGUCGAACGUGAAAUCCCCGAGCUCAACUCGGGAACUGCGUCCGAUACUGGUGGGCUUGAAUCCGGGAGAGGGAUGCGGAAUUCCAGGUGUAGCGGUGAAAUGCGUAGAUAUCUGGAGGAAUACCGGUGGCGAAGGCGGCAUCCUGGACCAUUACUGACGCUGAGGCGCGAAAGCUAGGGGAGCAAACGGG
rnacentral:rRNA from 1 species